rnacentral:siRNA from 1 species
GUACUAUCAUCGGAGGACUCUUC